rnacentral:rRNA from 1 species
UUGGAGGGCAAGUCUGGUGCCAGCAGCCGCGGUAAUUCCAGCUCCAAUAGCGUAUAUUAAAGUUGUUGCAGUUAAAAAGCUCGUAGUUGAAUUUCGGGACCAGUAUGUUGGUUGUGCUUCGGUACGUACUGUCAUUACUGGUUUCUCCCUUCUGAAGAACCUUGAUGUCAUUAAUUUGGUGUCUUGGGGAAUCAGGACUGUUACUUUGAAAAAAUUAGAGUGUUUAAAGCAGGCAUACGCUUGAAUACAUUAGCAUGGAAUAAUGAAAUAGGACGUUUGAUUCUAUUUUGUUGGUUUCUAGGAUCGACGUAAUGAUUAAUAGGGAUAGUUGGGGGCAUUAGUACUCAAUUGUCAGAGGUGAAAUUCUUGGACUUAUUGAAGACUAACUACUGCGAAAGCAUUUGCCAAGGAUGCUUUCAUUAAUCAAGAACGAAAGUUAGGGGAUCGAAGACGAUCAGAUACCGUCGUAGUCUUAACCAUAAACUAUGCCGACUAGGGAUCGGAUGAUGUUAUUUUUAAUGACUCAUUCGGCGCCUUACGGGAAACCAAAGUGUUUGGGUUC